CUCUGCUCUUAGAUUGUUGUCAUGUGUCAAAUCAUACAGCCCAGGGGGAAUGACUACAUUGCGCAGGAAAAACAGACAUCGAGCCGUGGUCAGACCACCUCAAAGAUAAACACUGCUGUGUGGACCAGAAGAAGAAAGGUCGAAAAACAAUCUGAAGCCUCAGACACUGAGUAAUAACAAAUAGAAAUACUACUUGUCUUUUGGAAUCUUUUUUUGCUGAAAAGUGUGAAGCGAUUCCAGAGAUAUUCUGAACAGAGGGACCCCAUCAGCAUGCAGUCCUAUAGGAGAAUGCAACCUGUCUGCACCUUCUUCCCAAGGGGGCCAGUGAAUGAAUGAACGAAAGAAUAAAUGAAUGAACAAACCA